GCCCCCUUGGCCAAGGGGUAAGGCGUCGCACUUGUAGGGAUUUACAAAUCUCGAAAUGCGAAGAUCGGUUGUUCAAAUCAGCCAGGGGGCA
rnacentral:tRNA from 1 species